UACAGAGGGUGCGAGCGUUGUUCGGAAUUAUUGGGCGUAAAGCGCGUGUAGGCGGGAUGGCAAGUCGGGUGUGAAAGCCCUCAGCUCAACUGAGGAAGUGCGCCCGAAACUACUGUUCUUGAGUAUCGGAGAGGGUGGCGGAAUUCCCGGUGUAGAGGUGAAAUUCGUAGAUAUCGGGAGGAACAUCAGUGGCGAAGGCGGCUCUCUGGGCAGAUACUGACGCUGAGACGCGAAAGCAUGGGGAGCAAACAGG
rnacentral:rRNA from 1 species